rnacentral:rRNA from 1 species
GUAAGCGCGCGCAGGCGGUUCUUUAAGUCUGGUGUUUAAACCCUAGGCUCAACUUCGGAUCUCACUGGAAUCUGGGGCACUUGAAUGCUGAUAAAGAGAAUGGAAUUCCCCGUGGAACCGUGAAAUGCCUAAAUAUGUGGAAGAACCCCCCUGGCCAAAGGCACUCUCUGGGCUGUACCUGACCCUGAAGGCCGAAAGCCUGGGGAACCAACCGGAUUAAAUUCCCCGGUAAUCCCCCCCCCAAACCAAUACUGCUAGGAGGUUGGGUGCUCUAUGCCCCUGAUGCCCAAAUCUACCCCUUUAACUUCCCCCCCGGGGAAUUCCGGCCCCAAAACUGAACUUCAAAGGAUUUGCCGGGACCCCCCCCAACCGGGGAAUUAUUGGUUUAAUUUCAAUCCACCCCAAAAAACCUUACCUGUCCUGGCCUCGCUCAGAAUCCUCCAGAGAUGGAUGCGUCCCUCCGGAAACACGUGACCGGGGGCUCCUGGGUGGCCUCCACCUCUGGCCUUGAAAGGUGGGUUAAAUCCCCCCACCAACCCCACCCUUGGUUCUUAUUUCCCACCCCUGAUUGUGGGCACUCCUAAAUAAACCCCCGGGAACAACCCGAAGAAAGGUGGGA